GAUGAACGCUGGCGGCGUGCCUAAUACAUGCAAGUCGAGCGAACAGACGAGGAGCUUGCUCCUCUGACGUUAGCGGCGGACGGGUGAGUAACACGUGGAUAACCUACCUAUAAGACUGGGAUAACUUCGGGAAACCGGAGCUAAUACCGGAUAAUAUAUUGGACCGCAUGGUUCAAUAGUGAAAGACGGUUUUGCUGUCACUUAUAGAUGGAUCCGCGCCGCAUUAGCUAGUUGGUAAGGGAACGGCUUACCAAGGCAACGAUGCGUAGCCGACCUGAGAGGGUGAUCGGCCACACUGGAACUGAGACACGGUCCAGACUCCUACGGGAGGCAGCAGUAGGGAAUCUUCCGCAAUGGGCGAAAGCCUGACGGAGCAACGCCGCGUGAGUGAUGAAGGUCUUCGGAUCGUAAAACUCUGUUAUUAGGGAAGAACAAAUGUGUAAGUAACUAUGCACGUCUUGACGGUACCUAAUCAGAAAGCCACGGCUAACUACGUG
rnacentral:rRNA from 1 species